rnacentral:lncRNA from 1 species
AAAUGAGAACAAUAAAGAAAAGAUCACAAAAUCACAAACAUAAUUCUUUUAUAGUAGUUCGAUAUCAAACUCGGUACUUACAUCCACUCUUUAAGCUCUUCUUAGAAAUUCUAUUAUAAUCCUUCUUUGAUUAUGGUGUGUUUAUUUUUCUGGACUCAAAAAUAAAUUUAGUUGAUUUUUUUGGGAUCACCAACUGCAAUCCUACAU